UUGACCUCGAAUCAGGUGGGACUACCCGCUGAACUUAAGCAUAUCAUAGCGGAG
rnacentral:rRNA from 1 species